rnacentral:rRNA from 1 species
GACAGAGGUGGCGAGCGUUGUUCGGAUUUAUUGGGCGUAAAGCGAACGCAGGUGGUUUGGUAAGUCAGGGGUGAAAGUCCGCAGCUUAACUGCGGCACUGCCUUUGAUACUGCCUUUCUUGAGUGCAUGAGGGGGAAGCGGAAUUCCGAGUGUAGAGGUGAAAUUCGUAGAUAUUCGGAGGAACACCGGUGGCGAAGGCGGCUUCCUGGCAUGUAACUGACACUCAUGUUCGAAAGCGUGGGUAGCAAACAGG